rnacentral:rRNA from 1 species
AUUGAACGCUGGCGGCAGGCCUAACACAUGCAAGUCGAGCGGAUGAAGGGAGCUUGCUCCUGGAUUCAGCGGCGGACGGGUGAGUAAUGCCUAGGAAUCUGCCUGGUAGUGGGGGAUAACGUCCGGAAACGGGCGCUAAUACCGCAUACGUCCUGAGGGAGAAAGUGGGGGAUCUUCGGACCUCACGCUAUCAGAUGAGCCUAGGUCGGAUUAGCUAGUUGGUGGGGUAAAGGCCUACCAAGGCGACGAUCCGUAACUGGUCUGAGAGGAUGAUCAGUCACACUGGAACUGAGACACGGUCCAGACUCCUACGGGAGGCAGCAGUGGGGAAUAUUGGACAAUGGGCGAAAGCCUGAUCCAGCCAUGCCGCGUGUGUGAAGAAGGUCUUCGGAUUGUAAAGCACUUUAAGUUGGGAGGAAGGGCGGUAAGUUAAUACCUUGCUGUUUUGACGUUACCAACAGAAUAAGCACCGGCUAACCUCGUG